AUCCAUAAUAAAAUUCUACUAAUUUAUUUAUAUUUCUUUAGGGACAUGCUUUAUUUCUACGAAAUUGGGUUCUCUCUAAACCUAUUCCUAUCACAUCAUAUAAGAUAUGACAUGGUGAGAACUGAAUCUUGAUUAUUUUGAGAUUCAAAGAUGUCCAGCCUGUGUCUAGGACAACAGGUAGAUAUGUUAGAAGAUAGGUCUAUAACGCUUUUCCUAAAAG
rnacentral:lncRNA from 1 species